rnacentral:miRNA from 4 species
AUGUAACCCAACGCAGCAUGAU